UGUCCUAGAAGUCAUGGAUGGGCCAGCCAGCUCUUUCAAGGAGAGCUUGAAGUAGCAGCAUAAAAGAUCCUAUAUGGCUGCAUGAUACUGUACCAAAAGCAAUUUAAAAGAAACAUACUUGUGCAGUGGUGCACUCCAGAACAUCUCCCGUUCUUGAACAGUCAGAAAAUCUGCUCAGCCUACAGACUUGGCCUCCAACUGGCUCUUCAAAUAGAAGUGCUUUGUAUGUUUCUUCCAUUUUUACUCUGCUGCAGAAGA